ensembl:lncRNA
GGGGGCCAGGAAUAAAUUCGGAAUUAGUAAGCCGCCCCACGAGGCGCAGAAGCAGCAGGUCGGAGCUAGAGGCUUAGGGGGCCCUCGUCAGACGUUUUAUAGCUUCCAGACUUUGCGGGGGGCUGUUUGCUGGCAUGAGUCAGACCCUGACCCUGGUCUGCAAGUAAUUUUUCCAGAAUGCUCAUUUUGGGGAAAAAUGAGUGUUACCAUGAGUAUACAAAUUAUUUCUCAGGGCUCUUUAUUUCACUUAAAAACGGGUUUUCUGGCAAAGCUCAGGGUAUUUCAGAUUGCCGGUGGAGGUUUCAGGAGGUCUUGCCAAUCAAAUUUCCAAGUGAAAGUCUUUCUUCCAAGCUUUUGUGCCUUCAAACUUGAUGCUUUCAAGCUCCAAUUCUGAUAAGAAGCAGGUAUUCUAGCAUCUUCUAGGUGGCCAGUGAAAGUCUGGUGCUCUGGGGAAGAGAUGCUUUCCCAAAGGUUAUAUUCUUUAUCAAGGAAAUUAAAGAAGAAAAAAAUGCCCCUUCUGUCCUUUUUGAGAUGGUAAUUGAUUUUUAGUUCUUUAAGCCAAAAGGAGGUAUCCUUGACAUAAACUGCCCAACUAAGACAAGGCAGCUGCUCUGCCUCGGGAAGUUUCCCUAGUGUUAGCUUAGGAGUCAACAAAAAUAAUUACUGUCACUUAGUUGUAGGAAACACUCAGGUUAAAAACAGCAUCAGUCAGCCGUAAAGUGUAAGAUGAUAUAAUCGAGCCACCUACUUCAGCUGUAGCUCACUGGUAACCUGGGAGGACAUUGAUUCAGUUAUAAUCCUUAACUUUGUGAGUGCUUUUGCAGAGUGAGUUUAUUUGGUUUUGCAGUAAACUUUUGCUGGGUAUAAAUAUGGAUGUGACUGAUUGGAGAAUACACAAUUUUCAAUAUUUAAGGAGAGAUGCUGAAGCCAUUCAUUAAAUUCCCAACUCAGAAGGAACUGGAACAUGGAUGUUCUCUUGCCGUCUGUUCUUCCACCUCCUCAUUGCAUUUGUUAAAAAGAAGUGGGUAGCAUUACUUUUCGCCUUGACUCUGCGUCUGUCAAAUGGUUUACUAGCUAUGAACUUGGGCAAGUCUUUCUCUUUGCCUUCAGGCAUUUCAUCUAUAAAACAGUGGGGUUGAAGUAGAUGGUCCCUAAAUUCUCCUCCAGCUUUUAACCUGCGACAUCAUGUCCUAGUGCUGAAGAGGUCAGACUCCUGGGUUUGAACACCAGCUUCAUCGUUUUUAAGCUGUGAGGACUUGGGCAGGUUAUUUAAGUUCUCCAUGCUUCACUUUCCACAUCUGAGAAUGGGAACCUACCUCAUGGUUUCGUUGUGAGGGUUAAAAAUGAGUUAAUACAUUAAAGUACUUAAAAAAAUGACAAUAAGGACACAGAUAUUGUUCACUUUCUCUGUUACAAGAUAUCAGUUGAACUCUGAUUUAGUUUCUUCUCAGAAAUGGGGAUUAGUUUACUCUCAGAAGGGUAGGUGAUGGGAAAAGUUUUGGAAGUGAUGAACAGUCACAAGUUAAACGUGUGCUGUCAUCACACAUUUUGGAACCCUCCAGGUUGUUUCCUACAGUUGUCAUUUCCUGGAACACUAUCUGAAAACCAGUGCACCUGAUUGUGUUGCUUAUACAUUCAUUCGUUCUUGGAUUAAAAUGUUUGCCGUCCUCCCGGUCUCGAAAACUUGUGCCUGUGGUCCUGCUGCCUCUUUUCCCCUUCCUUUCGCUGCAGUAGCUUCUGUAAUUGCAGUAGGGUUUUAGCUACAAUUGUAAGGAAACUUGAAGGUUUUGACGGGAAGCCUAACAUGACAGUGCUGCUGGGGGCUCUGUGUACGCUGCCUGUCGUACUGUGACUGGGGUCACAUGUUGCUUUUCUUACCUCUUGAAGCAGCAGCACUUGGUACUCUUAAUCACUUCCUCUUUAAUCCCUCCACCCUUGGCUUUGGGAUCCUGCGUCUCAGUACUUUCCAGUGUUCCUUCACGUUGUAACACACAGGGAAUUAUUUUUAGAAAGAACCUACACAGACUGAAGGGGUCCGUAUCUUGGGGCACCAGUUGGGAAGUGGCACUAUCUAAUGCCUCCUGUUUGUACUGGCUAGUUUUCCCUUCUUUUGGUUACUGGUUGUUUCUCAGGGCUCAGGCCUUGCCUCUCUGCUCUGCUCUUGAAACCCACCCUUAGCAGGUGUGUUCUUUGUUAUGCCGUCACGUUCACUUCUUUUGCUGACAGCUUCCAAAACUACCUUGAGCCCCUUUCUCUGUGUUCCACUUGCCUGCCGUCACUUGCCUACUGAACGUCUUCUGUCAUCCCUCUAUCUCAGACCCAUCACGUCUGGACUCGUUACCUCUUCUCUUCCUCACCAUCCACAGCCCAACACCUAACUUCUUUCUCCUUUCCCUGUCUCUGGCUUUUUCACAGUUUGAAAUAUUGACAUAAUCUUUGAUUAUUUCUCUCCUUCAUUC